GAUGAACGCUAGCGGCAGGCCUAACACAUGCAAGUCGAGGGGUAUAGUUCUUCGGAACUAGAGACCGGCGCACGGGUGCGUAACGCGUAUGCAAUCUACCUUUUACAGGGGAAUAGCCCAGAGAAAUUUGGAUUAAUGCCCCAUAGUGUUAUAGAAUCGCAUGGUUUUAUAACUAAAGUUCCAACGGUAAAGAUGAGCAUGCGUCCCAUUAGUUAGUUGGUAAGGUAACGGCUUACCAAGACAAUGAUGGGUAGGGGUCCUGAGAGGGAGAUCCCCCACACUGGUACUGAGACACGGACCAGACUCCUACGGGAGGCAGCAGUGAGGAAUAUUGGACAAUGGGCGCAAGCCUGAUCCAGCCAUGCCGCGUGCAGGAAGACGGUCCUAUGGAUUGUAAACUGCUUUUGUACAGGAAGAAACACUCCCUCGUGAGGGAGCUUGACGGUACUGUAAGAAUAAGGAUCGGCUAACUCCGUGCCAGCAGCCGCGGUAAUGUAGU
rnacentral:rRNA from 1 species